rnacentral:misc_RNA from 1 species
AAGAAUACAGGCUUCACGGCCGCUAUAUUCUCACCCUUUGUUAACUACACUUUGUUGCCUUGGCGCCUAGCGCCAGUGGACCAAAACCCUUGAAUCAUUGCUGUCUGAGUACUAUAUAAUAGUUA